GAGAUACAAGAAAAGAAGGAAUGUGGUUUGCAUGUCUCUCUACUUGUCUUCUCUAUUCUCUCUUCUCUCUCUCUUUCUUUUUCUCUCUCCCC
rnacentral:ribozyme from 11 species